rnacentral:rRNA from 1 species
UACAGAGGGUGCGAGCGUUAAUCGGAAUUACUGGGCGUAAAGCGUGCGUAGACGGUUAUUUAAGUCGGAUGUGAAAGCCCCGGGCUCAACCUGGGAAUUGCAUUCGAGACUGAAUAGCUAGGGUACGGUAGAGGAAGCGGAAUUUCCGGUGUAGCGGUGAAAUGCGUAGAUAUCAGGAGGAACACCGUGGCGAAGGCGGCUCACUGGCCCGAUACUGACGCUGAGGCACGAAAGCGUGGGAGCAACAGG